GAUGAACGCUAGCGGCAGGCUUAAUACAUGCAAGUCGAGGGGCAGCAUGAGUAGCAAUACUUGAUGGCGACCGGCAAACGGGUGCGGAACACGUACGCAACCUUCCUUUAAGUGGAGAAUAGCCCGGGGAAAACCCGGAUUAAUACUCCGUAAUAUUAUGAUGUGGCAUCACUUUAUAAUCAUAGAUUUAUCGCUUAAAGAUGGGCGUGCGCCUGAUUAGGUAGUGGCGGGGUAACGGCCCACCAAGCCUUCGAUCAGUAACUGGU
rnacentral:rRNA from 1 species